GACGUAGGGCGCGAGCGUUGUCCGGAUUUAUUGGGCGUAAAGAGCUCGUAGGCGGCUUGUCGCGUCGACUGUGAAAACCCGCGGCUCAACUGCGGGCCUGCAGCCGAUACGGGCAGGCUAGAGUUCGGUAGGGGAGACUGGAAUUCCUGGUGUAGCGGUGGAAAUGCGCAGAUAUCAGGAGGAACACCGAUGGCGAAGGCAGGUCUCUGGGCAUUAACUGACGCUGAGGAGCGAAAGCGUGGGGAGCGAACAGG
rnacentral:rRNA from 1 species